UUUUUUUUUUUUUUUUCAGAGAGCAGGGUUCAUUUGUUUUGUGCAAGCAGAGAAAUGAACAACAAAAAGCCAGAACUCUGACUCUGUGUUCAUAGCAGUACUGGCAUGUCUGUAGCAUCACCAUCUUUUCUGUGGAGAUGGCAGUGUUUGGAAGCAUUCUCUUACAGCAACUCAGUAAUAAUUAUUAGCUAGAAAUCAUGGGGUCCCUCUGGCAGAAGGAGGAAGUAUUCACUUUCUCGUGUAGUAGUUAGCUAAAACCUGACCUUUUGAUCAUCGUUUGACCAAAAAGGAUAAAAUCAGUCAUAAAACUAAUAUAUAUUCCCAAAUCAAAAUGUGUUUCUUAGCUGGCAACUUUUUCUGCACUGCAGUAACAGCUUUCAACACACUUGAUGUAAAUUUUACACGUUGCAAUUUGGUCUGUGGAGUUCUAAUUAUUGUACAUGAGGUGACAUUGAUUUUAGGCUUCUAUUUCUCUUUUGCUGUUUUUCUAAGUCACCUGCUAUGGUACCUGAAUCUACACACACAAAAUUAAGUGUCACAGCCAUGGCGGUGUCAUUGUUACUGCCUCUGGGCGUCCCUCCUUUGAUGUUUAGAGAGCCUGCAGAGCCCAGGCUCCUGGCUAAGCGUCGGAAGGAAGCUGCUUAAUGCAGGCUGAAUAGCCUUUUGCUGCCUCUCGUCAUCAUUUGCAAGGCUUUCUUAAAGUCACAUAUUUACUUAACAACGACGUUUUUAGAGGAAUCUUUAGCCAGGACCCAAUGGAACUCGGAUUGGGAAUGUCCCUGAGUACCUUGACUUAAAUACAUUGUAGUUUUAUGUGGAUAUAAAGGACAGUUGUAGUGGUAGUUUGGGGAUGUCUGUCUCUCUGGUUGUCUGCUCUGUGAAGCUGUUUGCACUGCACUGGCUCAGAACAAGAAAUAUGACAGUGGGUGUAAUGAAAACAUUGGGAGCUCUCAUUAGGGCUGGCUGACCUUUCCAUCUGAGCUGUGGGUCUGCAGCAGGUUCCAUUAGAAGAAAAUGUCCAAAGAACUGUUUAAAGUAAGUGGUCACUUAUUUUAAGUGACAGCAGUAUCAGCAACAGUAUCCCUCUGCUUCAUAGGCAGCCUCACACAAAUACUUCCCAGUCCAUAAAAAAGUAGUUUUUCAGGAUCACAGAAAUACCAAAACUGGCACAAGCAAAAUAAUUUUCCACUAUGUUGAAAAAUUCACAUGCUUUACCUAGCCUUAACUUAAUCAAAAUAUAGACAUACCAAGUGGAUAAUUUGACCUUGGCUUUUGAAAAUUUUUGGAUGACCCUAAAGAAAGCUUGCGCCAGAGAAGAUAGACCAGACAAUCAAAUUUAUCUAAACUGAGCUUUUGAAUUACAUUUAUUAGUACUGUGCUUGUUGAAGAGCUGAAUUUUUAUCGCCCUUCCCUGGAACAAGUUGUUAUUUCUGGCAUCAAAACCAGUGUUAUCAUCAAUGUCUGAUCACUUUCUGUGUGUGGCAACCCCAUUCCUCUUCUUGUGGUCUACCACAAACACUGCUCUACUGAGAGAUGUUGGGGAGGGCAGGACUUGGUGCGCAGUUGUAACAGCAGAGACUCCCCCUCAAGGAGCUUCUGAUUAAGAUCUUGAGGCAAAGUGCUGUUUAAUUUAAGGAAAGAUAAUACCCAGAGGUGAUAUAUUCAGUCACAGCUUAAUUGAAAUCAAAGAGCAGGCAAAAAAGUGAGGGAGACAGCAGACAAAAGGUUAAGCAGAGCACCUUGUAUCACAUGUUCAGCUGACGAUUAGCUGUUGAUUGUGGAGCAUAAGCCAAAAAUCAAGUUUUAUUGUGUGCCCUACAGUGAUUUCUGUGUUCAAAAUGAAAUCAGUAAAGCAGGCACUUGUUUAUCUCCAUAAGUUGUUGCAGCAUGUGUGACAAGAAAAUAAAGAAGUCAUGAAAUAUUAUUAGUGCUUUCUUUUUAUUGAUUACUGUGUUUCUUUAGCUGCAGGAAAUACUGGGGAAAAUUUAUGUCUCCAACCUUUAGUUUAAAAAUUAGUGUAAUUGUUAAGCUGUGGAAUUAUGAACAUCUGCUUGUCAAACAGUUACAGAAAGACAACAUUUACAAAAAACACCUAAUAUUCUGCCUACAUCAGGACACUUUCACACAAUAACAAGAGCUGAUUGGUAAGAGUAAUAAACUGCUUUAAAAGGGGAAUGUAGAUGACAGUAAACAAGAACUGUUGAAACAGGCAGUGCAAGGCACUAUUAAUAAGGGUGUUUCAAAGAGAUCUGCAGUAAAUACAGGGUUUUUUUUAAUAACAUGAUGUUUACAAGUUCCUCUCACUUUUUACUCCUGAGUCUAUCACAGUAAUUCCACUGGCUUAGAUGGCACAGUAAUCAAGUCAAGCCUGAUGAGAGUUAGAUUUCUAUUUUAAAUCACGCUCACUUCAUCCUCCUAGUCCAAUAAACAAUAUGUUUUCUCCACAGAAUGCUAUGCUAUUCUUUCAGAACAGUUAAAUAGUGGGGGCAAUUGCUUUUCAAAUAAGUUAUUGGUUUACAUCAGCCUUUGUGGGUGACAUUUUAUCUGUCCAUAAAUUUUUAAGCUGCCAUUACAGUGCUGUUGUAUCUUAAGGGGAGUAAUGCCUAACUUUGCCCCAUCCAAAGUAUCUUCCCUUUGCAUGAUCUCUGUCUGCCCAGAUGCAGAAGAAACUAUUUAAAAGAAAGUAUUUUUAAAGGUUUUUUUUUGUUUAUGGUAAGAUAUUUCUGUUCCUAAGGCAUCUUUUAUCAGAUGAUUAGCAUCAAAGCAUUUUGUAAGCCUUGAUUCUUUAGCUUUCUCAGUAGUCUCAAGGUAUUUUGAGAGAAAGUUUUGCAUAGCUCAGAGUUGAAAUGUGCUUCUUAACAGCACAGAGCAAGGUGACACAACAGCUUGGGCCAGAACUACAAAGACAGGUGAUGGUUGGCUAAAACUGUGAGAGGAAGCUGAUGUGGAGAAUGGAAUACAUGAGUGCUUCACAAGCAAUUGAGACGUCCCUCUCUUUCACCUUCAUCUCAUUUUGUCCUCAAGGCUCUGGAGGAAAUAAAGAUCUGGCCACUGAGCAGAGAUUGCAGAAAACAUUGAGCUUGAAAAUGGAGGUGUAGAUAGAGAAGCAAUGCUGAGUCUAAGGUCAGAGCCAUCUUAUGGGAUUGGACUGCUCUGUCAAGGCCAGCAGAUGCGUUGGAUGAGCAGCACCACAGCUGGGAUGUGUGGUCCUUGAAAGUCCUCCAUGUAGCUGAGAACUUGGAAAUUCAACAGCACACAGGAGAACUGCUGAGGAUCUGGUAAGGCAAGCCAGCCAGGAAGGGAAAAAGCAGGUGACCAUCCUUUGUCAAAAAGGAUGUGGCCAACAAAGCCAUCCAGUUCUGGCAAUUACCUGUUUCUACUGGUACAGUAGUGCUGAAAAAGUUAUUCAGUGUUAGCUAUAAGUUCCCUGGGAUGAUUACACAUGCUCUCUAUUUCACAUUAAGAAAUGGUCAAAAGAAUGUUGGAGUUUUCACUGUAGAAAAAUUGAAUGAGUGCCCAGUCUUUGCAAGAAAGAAUGGACAGAUAUGACCUUAGGUGUAAGAAAUACCAUCCAGUGAAUCACCUGUUCCUGAUUUUCAGAAGUGUUUAGCACCUCCACCAGGGAUAAUGGUUUAAAGAGCUCUGUAGAGUGGCUUGGUACUCUUUGGGAAAAAUCUAUUCCCCUAGCAUCAUGAAGAGAUGUGCACAGGAUGAGCUGGCAGAACAUGCUCUGACUUACUACAACACAGACAUGUGUCUCAGUCUUCAGUAACUAGCUGUCAGUCCUUAAAGAUUAUACUGAAAUGGAAAAGGGCAUGAAGCCUGGGAAAAUAAUGGCCAAAUUUGUUUAACAUACUUUACAACAAUGGUUCUGCCACAAAAUUUUAAGUAACUCUUGUUCAUUAGAGGCUGAGUCUCUGCAUCCAGUGCUGUAGAAGCCUGAAGGAAUCACACAGAAUUUGUCUAAUUGGCAUCAUGGAUGAAGGCUGCUGAAGCAUGGGGAACGACCUGAUCUUCUGCACCAGUAAUGAUCUUAUUGCCAUAGUUACAGUUGUCUGACUCUCCCACUCCCUGCAAGGCAACAAAUCACAUUAAGAAUAUUUGCAAAACCUUGAAAGUCUCACCUAGGGUACAAGUAGUUGAACAGCUGCCUUAAAAGCUAGUUCUGCUUAUAGUCACGCCCAAUCCUGCUUCAGCUGUGGGGGAAGCCCUCAUUAAAAAAUUAAACAUCUGUACACUCCUUAAUCCAGGCACUGGCACCCCAGGGACUCCUUCAGCUUUGUGGAUGCUGAGCAGGCUGAGCCCUAUGGAGAGCUAUGAGGUCAAGUAGAAGUUUCUCAUGAGCCAUCCUGCCUAGAGAAGGAAAUUAGUAUCAUUCUUGCAAACCUGUUCAGAUCAGGAGCCAAGUUUAGGACAGGGGCACUGAGAUGUGAGUGAGUUGGUGUUGACUGGUCUUGGCAAGGCUGAAAUGUCUUUUCUUUCCAUGAGAUGAGAGCGUUGAUUCCAACCCCCACUAAAUUUAAGCUAUCUUUCAUUUCCUUUCAUGAAGCUAGCAAGGACACUUACCAUUCUUGUCUAAAGAGCCUCAAUUCUUAUUCUCUGAAUUAAAGAAUUGAAGUCUCAAAGGAAUAUGGUUACUAACCCACUAUGGCACUUUUAAUGCAAGGGCAUAUUCCAACCCUUAAGAUUUGUAUCCUUUUUUUUUUUUUUUUUUUCCCUCUUCAUCUUUUUGUUAGUAAGCAACAGUAGCUUCUUUUUCUACUUUUUCCAUUUUCAGCCCCUCUUGUCUCUCUGGUCGGGGUGGUAAGCAGGGUGCCUGACUGAGUCAGGUGCCUCACAGGUAUUAAGAUGAAUUUUCCUUUCCAAAGCACUUUGUCUCCAUUUCCUGGCUUGUUAGGAUCUGUGUGGUGGUUUGGGUAGUUUCAGCAUACUCUGUAAUCCACUGUCUGCCUUUUUCCAUGGAAAAUGUGAGGAUGUCAUUGUCAGGCAUGCACAGCAACUAAACUGCUGGGCAUUCUUGCAUGUAUCAUCUCCUUAUUUUGUAAGCUGACUUGAUAAAUUAAGAAUUGGUUUCACACAAACCAAGGCAUCAUUUAGUACAAUUAAUGGGAUGGACAAAGGGUCUUUUUGUCAAGCACACUGUCUUUUUGUUCAUCUGCCAUCUCCUUUUACGGGCUCAUUUAAGGUGAGCCUGAAAAGCGUUCAAGGUUUCAGGCGAAGCAUCCAUUUGAAUCUUUUAAUUGAGAUCAGGAGAGCAGAAGCAGCAAGCAAACUUGAAACUCUGGAAAGGGGAAAAAUAUGUCAAUGGGUCUGAGACAAACCUUGUUGCAAAGCCUUGUUGCAUAGGUUUGGAGAGAGGCAGGGCACAUCUUUUUCUCGCAAUCUGCUGUGACUUUUGUGAUUGAGUCAGUAAGCCUCUCCCUUCUUCUCAAGCACAGAGUUUCCCUUCUGGACCAUUGCUUUGCAGGACUCUGAGGGCACAGUAGCUUACAGAGGGGAUUUUUUUCAGUAUCUCAUGGGAAAUGUAGUCCACUUAGAAGCCCUCAACUUAGAGA
rnacentral:lncRNA from 1 species